rnacentral:rRNA from 1 species
UAAUACAGAGGGUGCGAGCGUUGUCCGGAAUCACUGGGCGUAAAGGGCGCGUAGGCGGUGACUUAAGCGUGUGGUGAAAGCUCGGGGCUCAACCCCGAGUCGGCCGUGCGAACUGGGUCACUGGAGCAUGUCAGAGGCAGGCGGAAUUCCGGGUGUAGCGGUGGAAUGCGUAGAGAUCCGGAAGAACACCGGUGGCGAAGGCGGCCUGCUGGGACAUGGCUGACGCUGAGGCGCGACAGCGUGGGGAGCAAACAGGAUUAGAUACCCUGGUAGUCCACGCCGUAAACGAUGGGCACUAGGUGCUUGGGGGAGCGACCCCCUGAGUGCCGGCGCUAACGCAUUAAGUGCCCCGCCUGGGGAGUACGGCCGCAAGGCUG